rnacentral:lncRNA from 1 species
AGUACUUAAGUGAAAUUUAAAACCAGUGCCCCAAAAGAAUAUUUAAAUUUCAUCACAGUCCAGCCAAAUAUCUAUUAAUGUGUGCAGAUUGCAACAUGUAAAGGAAAAUGGGUUCCCUAUUUAUCUUUCUAUAAAUAUAAAUAGUUCCUAAGUCUUUUUAUCUUUGAUGAAGGGAGGUGAGGUUCAUAAGAGAUAGAUCACUUAUGGUCUGAAAUAGUACACAAGGGUUAAAAAAAAAAACAAAUCCCCUGCAGGAAAUACAGACAGACGAAUGCAAGCAAGCCUGUGUCCUUUAUGGGUGUCCCCCUUGCUUUCUGCCCUGCCUUAUAAAUCUUGUGUGUCCUGAAUGAAUGUGUCAUGUGGUCUUUCUUCUAUGUCACCUGCCUUCUCUCCACAGUCCAAAUUAGAAACGUUGUGUCCCACCCCGGCCCCCACCAUCCUCAGCUUCUUGACUUCAGCCACUAGCAAAUGUUUUAUAGCAAGUAUUUCCCCGAGUCACAGCUCUGCUCAGCAUUUGUUGCAAGACUUCCUUAAAGCCUUGGGUUAGAGAGUGUUCUCUCAGCUCGGUAAACAUUGUGGUUACAUGGCCUCUGCUGGCUCUCAGGCCACCAGGCUCUCAGACACAGGUGAACCAUACGGGAGCUCUUCGCUGUGAGGUCUAACCUUCCCUCUGUCCAGGCGUGGUAUUGCUUUCUGCGUUUUCAUGCCCGCUUACUGGCAUAGGCCGCACAGUUGGCAGCCGCCCUCACAUAAGCCCUGACCACUUCUGCUUGGCUUCUGUGCUUUGGACUGCUCCAGCUGAUUCUCAAGUUUCCCUUUUUGAUUUAUGGCCUUGAGGACACAGUGCUGUGUAUUUGUCUGUAUCCCAGAAACAUUUGUGUUUGUGGUCUCUGAUAUUUGUGCACAUCAGGGACCUUGGGAAUAUGGGCGUCCCUGGUGCUUUGAUUUGCUUACCCUUUCAAGG